rnacentral:lncRNA from 1 species
GCGGGAAACGGGUCUAUUGUAAAUAGUUGGAUUGUGGGUAAAACGGAGUUAAAUGUUCAACCGCUGCAGAGGCUUCUGGGGAAAAUAAAGGGGUGACUGUGUGUUUGGCACUGGAGAAACAGAGAAAGUGAGGGGGGCGCUAAGAUGGCUGGAAAGGUUGGUUAGCGAUGCAGGUCCUUGAGGAAAAGAGGUUCUCGGAUCGAAAGCAUCAUUUUCUUUGUUUGCUGAUGAGUGAUGUUCUAAUAAGACGUUCGUUAUGAACGCUCCCUGCGCGUCCUUCUUCGCCCCAUCCGAACCCAGAGCGCUGCGCGCCGCAAUAUGUUUACAGCUAUACACGGUCUCCUGCUAAUUUCUGUAGGGUCGUGUCCCAUGAGGAUGACCUGGUGAACCUGCCAUCUGUGACAUGUUGGCUUUACGCGCUGUGUCACUCCUCCAUUGCUCGUGUAAAAGGGACAGUCCGCUCUGUAAGUACAGAUUAUAAUUUAAUUUUUAGGGAAUUGUAAUGUAAAAAAAAAUCUCAUUCAUUUAGUAAAAUCGUGUAUAAAAACGACAUUGCAGUACCUAGGCGAUAUCAUUUGAUUUGAAUUGUGAGCGCUUUCCUCGUCGUCCGACAGGUCAGAUGUUCCUUUAAAAAAGUGCAUCCCCUCCGCCGCGUGGGCCGGUUCGUGGGAGAUGACGCCCCGUCCACGAGCGCAACUCAACUCGUGAACCACUCAGGACCGGGGGUUUGAGCGCCGCGGCUCGGGGAUCCGGGGUCGUGUGCUCGUUUGCGGGAGCGGAUCCAGAGAGAUGCUCGGCCGACAACAACACCGAGCCCCGAGAGAGAGAGAGCCGCACCGUUAUAUUUGUGCAAUCGUUUCCAAAAUCGUUGCCUUUAAAUAAAAAAAUACUUUAAAAUUAUUUAAAAAAAAAAAAAAUAGCGACCAAUUCAACAAAGGGGUCUAAAUAAGCGCUUUACGAUUUUUUUUUUUUCUCUUUUCUUCGAAUAAAGGUAACAAUGGAUGUGGCGGAUCUGUCGUUCGCUUUGCCUGCGAUUCUUUUCACGCUUCUUGCGAUUGUUUUAGCGAAUACGAUUUUCGGUAAGAAAACCACGAGUGUCCCGCAGUCCGAGGCGCAGAGCGGUGCUCCCGCUGAGAGCGACUGGACCGCGGACGAGCGAUGUGAGCGUGGACGAGAGGCGGACACACCGGCCCUGCCGCCUCCUCGGACCAUAAUAAAGGGGGAAUUUGAGGGAGCGGAGCCCGUCGGCGGGGGGCAGCUGCAGGAGGACGGAGCGGCACCCGCCGAGUCCCCGCCGGGCCCGCAGGUGGAGGACGACGUGGGCGUGAGCACGAGCACGAGGUGCCCGGGACGCCGCCAGGUGUCCGGGGAACCGGAUUAUAACACGGAAGGGAGUCCUGAAAUCGUGGGUGAAGGAGACUGUAAAGCAGUGCCGGAGGCUCAGACAGCGUUCUUGAAGACAACCAAUUUGGUGCAUGACCCUAUCCAAGACGUGGACGUCAUCUCCAGACCCAUCCCUGUCAAUGUGGCACCCUGCCACCUCUCACUUGAGAGGGAUGUUUUUCUACACCAUCUUCCUGACGUGGAAAUUCACAAGACCAGCCCAGACUCAGAUUCGGAACCUGCACUUGAACAGGUGGAGGAUGAUCUGGCUGCACUGGAGGAGAACCUUGCAGAGUACAGUCCAGAAAAUGAGGAUGAUGAAGAUACGAUUGCGGUCGGUACAGAGGCCCAGGAUCUCUCCCUGAGAUACGCUCUUGGGAAGCUGAGAACCAGCCAGCUGGAGGAGAUGAUGACCAAGGAGGAGGUGGAGGAGAAGGAGCAGAGGAUAGAGUUCACAACUGAUUUUACCUCUCUUUAAACCACAAGGACAAGCAGUGUGUUUUAGAAAACACUUGGUAAGGGGGGAGAGAGAGCACCUAGCUGCCAUAUUCCAGCUCUUCAGAACUCAGCAGGAAUCCUUUACUCGCAUGAAGAAGGAAGACUUUUUUAGAAGACUUAUUAGAAAUGUACAAAUUGUUGCUCAUCCAAAUAAAAAACCCUCGCAUUUUAAAUUUCGCCAAUGUGCAGCCAGUUUCUUGCCUUAUUUAGUGACUUGAUUCUACCUGCUUAAGAAUGAAUGAAUGAAUGAAUGAAUGG